UACGUAGGAAGCGAGCGUUGUCCGGAAUUAUUGGGCGUAAAGGGCUCGUAGGCGGUUUGUCGCGUCGGGAGUGAAAACGCCGUGCUUAACACGGCGCUUGCUUUCGAUACGGGCAGACUAGAGGUAUGCAGGGGAGAACGGAAUUCCUGGUGUAGCGGUGAAAUGCGCAGAUAUCAGGAGGAACACCGGUGGCGAAGGCGGUUCUCUGGGCAUUACCUGACGCUGAGGAGCGAAAGUGUGGGGAGCGAACAGG
rnacentral:rRNA from 1 species